rnacentral:rRNA from 1 species
AUACGGAGGGUGCGAGCGUUGUUCGGAAUUAUUGGGCGUAAAGAGCAUGUAGGCGGUCUGUUAAGUCUGGUGUGAAAGCCCGGGGCUCAACCCCGGAAGUGCAUUGGAUACUGGCAGACUUGAGUAUGGGAGAGGAAAGCGGAAUUCCGAGUGUAGGAGUGAAAUCCGUAGAUAUUCGGAGGAACACCAGUGUCGAAGGCGGCUUUCUGGACCAAUACUGACGCUGAGAUGCGAAAGCGUGGGGAGCAAACAGGAUUAGAAACCCUAGUAGUCC